ACCCCAGGCCCUAGUACACAGCAGGCAGAGAUGGGUUUCACCAUGGUGAUCAGGCUGGUCUCGAACUCCUGACCUCAAGUGAUCCACCCACCUUGGCCUCCCAAAGUGCUGGGAUUACAGGCCUCCAGGUGGGCACGCAUCUUUGUUGUGUUCUCUGCUGACUGUAUCCUCAGCACCUAGAACUGUCUGUCACCUAAUAGAUGCUCAAUAAACCUGCCAGUAAUUUCAGCAAAUGAAACGUGGAACACGUCAAGGCCAGAGGAUGGAAAAGGCUCCAGUUUUGAUAAAAGGAGGCCUGCUUGGCUUGGAAUCCUCUCUCCUGCUGGUUGGGAGAUGCAAAGAUGUUUCCAGAGAGGGGCUGAUGAAUUGAGGGGAAAGAAAUGAGCCCAGUAUGAGUCCCCUUUCAGGGCUGAGUGUGUAUAAAACCAAACAACUUGGAACCGCUCCAAGAGAGGGGAUUAAAGCAACAUGUUAUUCUGA
rnacentral:lncRNA from 1 species